rnacentral:tRNA from 1 species
GGAAAGGUGGCAGAGUGGUCGAAUGCGCCGGACUCGAAAUCCGGUGUACCCUUCUCGGGUACCGUGAGUUCGAAUCUCACCCUUUCCGCCA